rnacentral:rRNA from 1 species
ACGGGAGGCAGCAGUGGGGAAUAUUGGGCAAUGGGCGCAAGCCUGACCCAGCAACGCCGCGUGAAGGAAGAAGGCUUUCGGGUUGUAAACUUCUUUGACGGGGGAAGAGCAGAAGACGGUACCCCGAAAACAAGCCACGGCUAACUACGUGCCAGCAGCCGCGGUAAUACGUAGGUGGCGAGCGUUGUCCGGAUUUACUGGGUGUAAAGGGCGUGUAGCCGGGUUGGCAAGUCAGGUGUGAAAUGCACAGGCUUAACCUGUGAACUGCAUUUGAAACUGUUGAUCUUGAGUAUCGGAGAGGCAAUCGGAAUUCCUAGUGUAGCGGUGAAAUGCGUAGAUAUUAGGAGGAACACCAGUGGCGAAGGCGGAUUGCUGGACGACAACUGACGGUGAGGCGCGAAAGUGUGGGGAGCGAACAGGAUUAGAUACCCUGGUA